GUCGAACGAACUCUGGUAUUGAUUGGUGCUUGCAUCAUGAUUUACAUUUGAGUGAGUGGCGAACUGGUGAGUAACACGUGGGAAACCUGCCCAGAAGCGGGGGAUAACACCUGGAAACAGAUGCUAAUACCGCAUAACAACUUGGACCGCAUGGUCCGAGUUUGAAAGAUGGCUUCGGCUAUCACUUUUGGAUGGUCCCGCGGCGUAUUAGCUAGAUGGUGGGGUAACGGCUCACCAUGGCAAUGAUACGUAGCCGACCUGAGAGGGUAAUCGGCCACAUUGGGACUGAGACACGGCCCAAACUCCUACGGGAGGCAGCAGUAGGGAAUCUUCCACAAUGGACGAAAGUCUGAUGGAGCAACGCCGCGUGAGUGAAGAAGGGUUUCGGCUCGUAAAACUCUGUUGUUAAAGAAGAACAUAUCUGAGAGUAACUGUUCAGGUAUUGACGGUAUUUAACCAGAAAGCCACGGCUAACUACGUGCCAGCAGCCGCGGUAAUACGUAGGUGGCAAGCGUUGUCCGGAUUUAUUGGGCGUAAAGCGAGCGCAGGCGGUUUUUUAAGUCUGAUGUGAAAGCCUUCGGCUCAACCGAAGAAGUGCAUCGGAAACUGGGAAACUUGAGUGCAGAAGAGGACAGUGGAACUCCAUGUGUAGCGGUGAAAUGCGUAGAUAUAUGGAAGAACACCAGUGGCGAAGGCGGCUGUCUGGUCUGUAACUGACGCUGAGGCUCGAAAGUAUGGGUAGCAAACAGGAUUAGAUACCCUGGUAGUCCAUACCGUAAACGAUGAAUGCUAAGUGUUGGAGGGUUUCCGCCCUUCAGUGCUGCAGCUAACGCAUUAAGCAUUCCGCCUGGGGAGUACGGCCGCAAGGCUGAAACUCAAAGGAAUUGACGGGGGCCCGCACAAGCGGUGGAGCAUGUGGUUUAAUUCGAAGCUACGCGAAGAACCUUACCAGGUCUUGACAUACUAUGCAAAUCUAAGAGAUUAGACGUUCCCUUCGGGGACAUGGAUACAGGUGGUGCAUGGUUGUCGUCAGCUCGUGUCGUGAGAUGUUGGGUUAAGUCCCGCAACGAGCGCAACCCUUAUUAUCAGUUGCCAGCAUUAAGUUGGGCACUCUGGUGAGACUGCCGGUGACAAACCGGAGGAAGGUGGGGAUGACGUCAAAUCAUCAUGCCCCUUAUGACCUGGGCUACACACGUGCUACAAUGGAUGGUACAACGAGUUGCGAACUCGCGAGAGUAAGCUAAUCUCUUAAAGCCAUUCUCAGUUCGGAUUGUAGGCUGCAACUCGCCUACAUGAAGUCGGAAUCGCUAGUAAUCGCGGAUCAGCAUGCCGCGGUGAAUACGUUCCCGGGCCUUGUACACACCGCCCGUCACACCAUGAGAGUUUGUAACACCCAAAGUCGGUGGGGUAACCUUUUAGGAACCAGCCGCCUAANGUGGGACAGAUGAUUAGGGU
rnacentral:rRNA from 2 species